rnacentral:rRNA from 1 species
UACAGAGGGUGCGAGCGUUAAUCGGAAUUACUGGGCGUAAAGCGCGCGUAGGCGGCUUUUCAAGUCGAUUGUGAAAUCCCCGGGCUCAACCUGGGAACUGCAGUCGAGACUGUCUAGCUAGAGUAUGGGAGAGGGAAGUGGAAUUUCAGGUGUAGCGGUGAAAUGCGUAGAUAUCUGAAGGAACAUCAGUGGCGAAAGCGACUUCCUGGACCAAUACUGUCGCUCAUGUGCGAAAGCGUGGGGAGCAAACAGG